UUUUUUUUUUAUUUUAUUAUGAAUUCCAAAUUAGUUAGUUUUCUUGUACUUUUAACGAUCGUUCAAAGUUACGGCCAAGAAGGCUGGGAGCCGUGGAAUGAAGGAGUAACGCGCGGGACCACGGUUGACUUGGUCUGCGAUCAUCCGUUCUGCGUGGCACCUUGUCCAGGAGCUGCAUCCCCUCGCUACUGUCCUGCAAACAUGACCAAGUGUUUAUCUGGGUGUGCGUGCAUGCUCGAGUGCCAAUCGCCAACAUACGUCUGUUUUCCAACGAAAUAUUGCAUUUCAAGACGUAGAUAUUUGUCGAAAAGACCAACUACUGCGAUUGUUUGACCUAUUGAAACUCAAAUUAAAUAUGAAACUAUAAAUGGACCUUGACUGAAUAAAUUGUUAUCAAAAUAAGUUUCUUUUGAUAUA